GGGAGUACUUGGUUGAUUUGAUCGGUAAGCCUGGAGUUUUAAGCGAACCAGAUUCCUUGUUGAAUGGUCCAUCUUCCAUCUCAAUCCCUUCACCUUUGCGCUUUCCGAGAUACAGACAAGUUGAGCCUACAACUGAUUUCAGGUCAUUGGCCAAACAGUAUUUCUUGGAUAGUCAAUCACUUAAUCUACUGUUUGAUGAUUCUUCAGCUGGAGCUGCAGCUGAUGGAGAUGCAGGACAAUCAGACAGAAGUUGCAUUGAUAGAAACAAUGUAGUCUCUAGUUCAAGUAAUCGUGAUGAAAUUUCUCAGUUACCUCUGC
rnacentral:misc_RNA from 1 species